UUAUAUAUAUAUAUAUAUAUAUAUACUUGUGUUUUAUUUCUGAUUCUUAUUACAUAAUUGAAUUUUUUUCAUUUCUUAGUAUAAUUUUUUUUUUUCCUUCACAUUAUAUAUAUAUAUAUAUAUUAUUUAUUUAUAUAUAUAAUUUUUAUAUUUAUAAGAUAAAACAAAAAAAUCAUAAAUGCUAUAUAUUAUAAAAAAAAAUAAAAAAAGAUAUAUAUAUUUUUAUACUUUUAAGGUUUAAUUUUUUGCAAUCCGCCAUUUUCUUGUUAUAAAAGAAAAAUGUAUAACCCCAAUUUUCUUUCGUUUUGAAUAUAAUUAUAUUUUUAUGUAUAGAUAUAUAUUUAUAUUUAUUUAUUUUAUAAUUUAUAUUAUAUUAUUAUUAAUAUUUUCUUUUUUUUUUUCUCUCUCUUCCUUCUUUCUCUUUUUUUUUUUUUUUUUUUUCCUUUUUUUUUUCUUAUUUUCAUUAUUUGUUUUUGUUUUUGUACAACCAUAUAAAAUAGUUGUAUAAAAUUCAACUAUAUUAUAUUAUAUUAUAUUAUAUUUUUUUUUUUUUUUUUUUUUUGUAAAAUGUAUAUAUUAUUAAUAUAUAUUAUUUCUAUGUGUAUAUAAUAUAUUAAUUCUUUUUAUGGUUAAUUUAUAUAUGACACAAAAUCUACCUUAUUGUAGUAUGUAAAAAUAAAAAUAUAUAUAUAUAUAAAAGAGAAUCCAAGGAGACUAAAUAAAAAUGUAAAAAUAUAUAUAUAUAUAUAUAUAUAUAUAUAUGUAUAUGUAUAUGUAAAAUAUAAUGUGUUCUGCUAUGAUAUAAUAGUAUAAUUUUUUUUUUUUUUUAUUCUUGGUUACAAUUGAAAAAAGAAAAGCAAAAUUAUUAUAUUUUAAGUAUCAAUUUGUAUAUCUCUGUAAAAGGUAGUCCCACACCCAAA